rnacentral:rRNA from 1 species
UACAGGAGGGUGCAAGCGUUGUCCGGAAUCAUUGGGCGUAAAGGGCGCGUAGGUGGCCCGGUCAGUUCGUGGUGAAAGCGCGGGGCUCAACUCCGCGUCGGCCAUGAAUACUGCGUGGGCUUGAGCACUGUAGAGGCAGGCGGAAUUCCGGGUGUAGCGGUGGAAUGCGUAGAGAUCCGGAAGAACACCGGUGGCGAAGGCGGCCUGCUGGGCAGUAGCUGACACUGAGGCGCGGACAGCGUGGGGAGCAAACAGG